rnacentral:rRNA from 1 species
AAANUGUUCCCNGUAACNGAGCGCAACCCUUGUCCUUAGUUACCAGCACGUUAUGGUGGGCACUCUAAGGAGACUGCCGGUGACAAACCGGAGGAAGGUGGGGAUGACGUCAAGUCAUCAUGGCCCUUACGGCCUGGGCUACACACGUGCUACAAUGGUCGGUACAGAGGGUUGCCAAGCCGCGAGGUGGAGCUAA